rnacentral:misc_RNA from 1 species
AACUUUCAGCAAUGGAUCACUUGGCUCUCGCAUCGAUGAAGAACGCAGCGAAAUGCGAUAAGUAAUGUGAAUUGCAGAAUUCAACGAAUCAUCGAAUCUUUGAACGCAUAUUGCGCCCAUUAGUAUUCUAGUGGGCAUGCCUGUUCGAGCGUCAUUUCAACCCUCAAGCCUUAGUUGCUUGGUGUUAGGGCAUCUAUGAGCGAUCAUAGGCCCUGAAAAACAGUGGCGGGCUUGCUGUGAACCCGAGCGUAGUAAUAAUUUCUCGCUUAGGGGCCCAUGGCGGGUACCAGCCGUUAAACCCACUAUACUUUUACAAGGUUGACCUCGGAUCAGGUAGGAAUACCCGCUGAACUUAAGCAUAUCAAUAAGCGGAGGCU